GAUAGAGUUUGAUCAUGGCUCAGGAUGAACGCUGGCGGCGUGCCUAAUACAUGCAAGUCGAACGAGGUGCUUUUUGUAGCAAUACGAGGAGUAUCCUAGUGGCGAACGGGUGAGUAACGCGUGGGUGACCUACCCCAAAGUGUGGAAUAACAGUCCGAAAGGAUUGCUAAUACCGCAUGUGGUCAUUGGGUUUAGAAACCGAUGACUAAAGGAGCAAUCCGCUUUGGGAGGGACCUGCGUCCCAUCAGCUAGUUGGCGAGGUAACGGCUCACCAAGGCGACGACGGGUAGGGGACCUGAGAGGGUGGCCCCCCACAAUGGAACUGAAACACGGUCCAUACACCUACGGGUGGCAGCAGUAGGGAAUAUUGCACAAUGGGCGAAAGCCUGAUGCAGCAACGCCGCGUGCGCGAUGAAGGUCUUCGGAUCGUAAAGCGCUUUUCUGGGAGAUGAGAAAGGACAGUAUCCCAGGAAUAAGUCUCGGCUAACUACGUG
rnacentral:rRNA from 1 species